UGGGGAAUUUUGGACAAUGGGCGCAAGCCUGAUCCAGCAAUGCCGCGUGCAGGAUGAAGGCCUUCGGGUUGUAAACUGCUUUUGUACGGAACGAAAAAGCUCUCUCUAAUACAGGGGGUGAAUGACGGUACCGUAAGAAUAAGCACCGGCUAACUACGUGCCAGCAGCCGCGGUAAUACGUAGGGUGCAAGCGUUAAUCGGAAUUACUGGGCGUAAAGCGUGCGCAGGCGGUUUUGUAAGACAGAGGUGAAAUCCCCGGGCUCAACCUGGGAACUGCCUUUGUGACUGCAAAGCUGGAGUGCGGCAGAGNGGGAUGGAAUUCCGCGUGUAGCAGUGAAAUGCGUAGAUAUGCGGAGGAACACCGAUGGCGAAGGCAAUCCCCUGGGCCUGCACUGACGCUCAUGCACGAAAGCGUGGGGAGCAAACA
rnacentral:rRNA from 1 species